UACGUAGGUGGCAAGCGUUGUCCGGAAUUAUUGGGCGUAAAGCGCGCGUAGGCGGUCAGGCAAGUCGGGUGUGAAAGCCCUGGGCUCAACCUGGGAAUUGCAUUCGAAACUAUCUGACUCGAGUAUGGGAGAGGGAAGCGGAAUUUCCGGUGUAGCGGUGAAAUGCGUAGAUAUCGGAAGGAACACCAGUGGCGAAGGCGGCUUCCUGGACUAAUACUGACGCUGAGGUGCGAAAGCGUGGGGAGCAAACAGG
rnacentral:rRNA from 1 species